rnacentral:piRNA from 1 species
UUCAGGUUAUCAGAGACCUUCCUGUGGGCC